GAUGAACGCUGACGGCAUGCUUAACACAUGCAAGUCAACUGGUGGCGGACGGGUGAGUAACGCGUAAGGAUCUUGCUUGUCAGCUAGGGACACGUUUGGGAAACGAAGGCUAAUACGUAAUACUGUGAGAGGUGUUUGCGUCCCAUUAGCUGGUUGGCGAGGUAACGGCUCACGAAGGCGAGGAUGGGUAGCCUGCCUGGGAGGGUGAUCGGGCACAAGGGCACUGGGGCACGGCCCUUACUGAAACGGGAGGAAGGAGUGGGGAACAUUGGAAGAUGGGCCACAGUCUGAUCCAGCAAUUCGGUGUGCACGAUGAAGUUGUCGGAAGGUAGAGUGCUUUGAGUUGAGAAGCGGUACCAACAGAAGAAGUGACGGCUAACUACGUGCCAGCAGCCGCGGUAAUUC
rnacentral:rRNA from 1 species